AACGGCCAUACCAUGCUGAAUAUGCCGGUUCUCGUUAGAUCACCGAAGUCAAGCAUCAUUGGGCGCGGUCAGUACUUGGGUGGGUGACCACCUGGGAACACCACGUGCCGUU
rnacentral:rRNA from 1 species